rnacentral:snRNA from 1 species
GUGCUCCCUUCGACAGCACAUGUACUAAAAUUGGAACGAUACAGAGAUUAGCAAGGCCCCUGCACAAGGAUGACAACGCAAAUUCAUGAAGUGUUCCAUAUUUUG